AUGUAUAGAACAUGAGCAUGAGAGAACGUGACUCGGUGGCCAAAUGGUAAAAGAUAGAAAAAAUCCUAUUUUACUCAAUAGUUACUCGAUUGCGUUCUUUCGUGUCCCGCGGUGUAGUAAUUAUUUCUUAAACAAAUUGGCAACGUUGUUUUCAUAAGACUGUAUAAUUAAAAGGGACAGAGCAUUAAAAUAAUUCUUUUAGCUUACUAAUACCAUGUUGCCAGUCUAUGAACAAUAUAUAGUAUAAUGAAUAUAUUGUAUGAGAGAACGUGACUUCACGGCCAAAUGGUAAGAUUGAAAAAAAUAUACAUUAUUCAAUAGUCACUCUGUUGUGUUGUUUCGUGUCCCGCGGUGUAGAAAUUAGUUCAUAAGCAAACUGGCAACGUUGCUUCCAUAAGUGCGUAUAAUUCAAAGGGACAGAAAGUUAAAAUUAUUCUUGAUGCUUAUGAAUUCCACACGUUGUUUAUUAUUAACUCUAUUAACUCAUCUAUUAUUUGAAUUUGUCGCCGCUUUGAAAAUAUUUGGUUCGUCUGCUUAAAACGGUUGUUUGAAUUUGUCGCUCAAAUAUACUAACAUUAUUGCUAUUAAUAGACUGUCUAGGUGAAUUGGUAUAAUAUUAAUGAAUUACUGUAAAGUUCGCGACAAGUCAUGUAAGGUACAGUCGACCCUAAAUAAUUGAAAUAGAGGCUAAAAUGAUAUGAUGAUGAAUGGACAAAUAACCACCAGAUGAUCCAGAGGGAAGAGGCGCGGAGCGUGUGAGUCACACAUGGACUAUGAUCGCCACUUAAAAAAAAAUUUCAAAUGCUUUAAAAAACCUAAUAACUACUAUUAUACGAUCAACCAUUGUCACGAAAUCCGAGUGAAAAUGUAGGCAUGUGGGUUGACAAUUUUCAAGGAUAAAAUAAAACGAAUGAAUCAUUUAACCAAAAUGGUAUGUUGAUCUUUGGAUACGUUGAGGUCAAAAUACAGGGUUUUGGCUGUUCAAACAAUACGAAGAGGUUAGUACCUGUUGACUGGGCGUCGAUAAUAUUCGUCUGCAGUAAAAAAGCGAUGGUUAUUGAAAAUAAUACUGAAAUUUGUUCUGACCAUCGGCGUUUCGGACUUCUGAGCUUCGACAUAUCGCACAGUCACUGACACCUGCAGUAUGACAGGCGUUUGACGUCACUACAAAGGACGGAGCACAUAAAAACACGUUCGCCGGGCACUUUUUUAUGCGAUCACAUUGUAGUCCUCGAUGACGACCAUUCACUAAGCGCGGCGUGCCACUAACAACUGAUGUCGGCAGAACCAGCAACCGGUAUUUGGUCAUGCCGAACAGCGGUUACACUCACCUGUAUGAUACUCGAAGAAAGAAGGGAGUAAGAUAGGUAACAAAUAUAUUAUUGGCAAACGUGUGCCGCCAAUUGUGGAUAUUUACCAUACGGUCAACAGGACAACAUUUAAAAUGUUUAUUUUUAUGGAAGUUGUAACGUCACAAAUUCGAAGGUGGACCGUUUAUGAUUUUUUUGUUAUGUCUACUUAUUUAUUUUAUCGCGCAAAAGAACCUUUUUCUGACACAGCGGUGUCAACCACUCAUUAUUUUACCGCUGACCGCUAGAUAAGGCGAUAAAAGAGAAAUAUAAUUAAAAUCGAAUUGUUAUCGUAUUGAUCCCUUCCAAAAAGACUGGCCGUUAUCGUUUUGAAAUUGCCGUUAGAUCGGUGUUGACUCUUCUCUAUUCUUUCUUCUGUCAUUGACCGUGCUAGGGUGCACACAUUUGUUGUUUUAUUGACAUAUUUUUCAAUGAUGGAGUAGAGCCGCCAACGGCAAACGGCCAGGUCUUUUCGGCGAAGCAUCCAGACCAUCGGAUGGGUCUCUUCGGAGACCGGGUAUCGUUUUCUUUUUUAUAUUAUAUUUAUGUAAUGAGCUAUAUUUUAUUAAUUAUUUUAUUUAAUUUUAUUUUAUUGUAAAUUAACUUAAUUUUGUUUAUGUGUGGAGAGCACGUGUUUCCCUUUUCUUUUAGCCAACGCUAAGGAGCGAGUGUCCAGACCGCUCCUGGUGUUCUUCAUUAAUUUCCGGUUAACAUUAACGGAUGUGUUCCAAUACCGUCCGUGAUGUUUGUAAUAUUAUUUGUUUAAAUAUUUUAUUUUAUUUGUAUUGCCUUUAUUUGUAGACAUGGUUUUUGAUGCAUUCGCAUUUUUGUCCAUGUUUAACUUAAUUUUCUUUUUUUAACAAUUAAAUUAAAUUUCCUUAUUAAUUUCAA